rnacentral:misc_RNA from 1 species
GAUGAAGAACGUAGUGAAAUGCGAUAAGUAAUGCGAAUUGCAGAAUUCCAGUGAAUCAUCGAAUCUUUGAACGCACCUUGCGCCCUUUGGCUAUUCCGAAGGGCAUGCCUGUUUGAGUAUCAUGAACAUCUCAACUCCUCGCGGUUUGCCCGUGACGAGCUUGGACUUUGGGGGUCUUGCCGGCCUGUGGGUCGGCUCCUCUCAAAUGAAUAAGCUUGCCGGUGUUUGGUGGCGUCACAGGUGUGAUAACUAUCUACGCUUGUGGUUUUCCGCCAGGUAACCUCCAGCAAUGGGGGUUCACUGGAGCUCACAAAUGUCUUUCCUCGGUGAGGACAGCUUUUUGAACGUUUGAUCUCAAAUCAGGUAGGACUACCCGCUGAACUUAAGCAUAUCAAUAAGCGGAGGA